rnacentral:rRNA from 1 species
GACAGAGGUGCCAAGCGUUAGGCGGAAUCACUGGGCUUAAAGCGUGUGUAGGCGGGCGGGCAAGUACCUUGUGAAAUCCCACGGCUCAACCGUGGAACGGCUGGGUAUACUGCCUGUCUUGAGCCAGCUAGGGGCGACCGGAACAGACGGUGGAGCGGUGAAAAUGCGUAGAUAUGUGGAGGAACACCAGUGGCGAAGGCGCUUUCUGGUCUGUAACUGACGCUGAGGCGCGAAAGCGUGGGGAGCAAACAGG